AACCGGAUUAGAUACCCUGGUAGUCCACGCUGUAAACGAUGUCGAUUUGGAGGUUGUGCCCUUGAGGCGUGGCUUCCGGAGCUAACGCGUUAAAUCGACCGCCUGGGGAGUACGGCCGCAAGGUUAAAACUCAAAUGAAUUGACGGGGGCCCGCACAAGCGGUGGAGCAUGUGGUUUAAUUCGAUGCAACGCGAAGAACCUUACCUACUCUUGACAUCCAGAGAACUUUCCAGAGAUGGAUUGGUGCCUUCGGGAACUCUGAGACAGGUGCUGCAUGGCUGUCGUCAGCUCGUGUUGUGAAAUGUUGGGUUAAGUCCCGCAACGAGCGCAACCCUUAUCCUUUGUUGCCAGCGGUUCGGUCGGGAACUCAAAGGAGACUGCCAGUGAUAAACUGGAGGAAGGUGGGGAUGACGUCAAGUCAUCAUGGCCCUUACGAGUAGGGCUACACACGUGCUACAAUGGCGUAUACAAAGAGAAGCGACCUCGCGAGAGCAAGCGGACCUCAUAAAGUACGUCGUAGUCCGGAUUGGAGUCUGCAACUCGACUCCAUGAAGUCGGAAUCGCUAGUAAUCGUAGAUCAGAAUGCUACGGUGAAUACGUUCCCGGGCCUUGUACACACCGCCCGUCACACCAUGGGAGUGGGUUGCAAAAGAAGUAGGUAGCUUAACCUUCGGGAGGGCGCUUACCACUUUGUGAUUCAUGACUGGGGUGAAGUCGUAACAAGGUA
rnacentral:rRNA from 1 species